UACGAAGGGAGCUAGCGUUGUUCGGAAUCACUGGGCGUAAAGCGCACGUAGGCGGAUGUGUCAGUCAGGGGUGAAAUCCCGGAGCUCAACUUCGGAACUGCCUUUGAUACAGCACGUCUUGAGUCCGAUAGAGGUGGGUGGAAUUCCUAGUGUAGAGGUGAAAUUCGUAGAUAUUAGGAAGAACACCGGUGGCGAAGGCGGGUCUCGUGGGC
rnacentral:rRNA from 1 species